UUGUCCCCAAAGUGUUGGAUUGAUACAUAUCUUACAUGGUUUUCACAAGAUUUUGCAUGUUUUCUACUCAGAUGACAGUAAUUCAACUCGCUCAAAGCAGAUAUUAUUACAUAUAUAUUCAACAUAGAGUACACAAUUUUACCCCCCCAAAAAAAACAUAGAGUACACAAGUAAAGUCAACGACUUUUUUAAGGUGUUGUGUCAGCCUUUGCAUUGGUUGGAACGCUGGGAUCGUGUCUGGUGUUUGCAGAUGGAUCACC
rnacentral:lncRNA from 1 species